rnacentral:tRNA from 1 species
GCUCCCAUGGCGUAGUGGUCACUGCACUCGCCUUGCACGCGGGAGACCCGGGUUUGAUUCCCGGUGGGGUUA